rnacentral:rRNA from 1 species
GAAAUGACUGCUAAUACCGCAUACGCCCUACGGGGGAAAGGAGGGGAUGCUUCGGCACCUUUUGCUAUUCGAUGAGCCCGCGUGAGAUUAGCUAGUUGGUGGGGUAAUGGCCCACCAAGGCGACGAUCUCUAGCUGGUCUGAGAGGAUGAAUCAGCCACACUGGAACUGAGACACGGUCCAGACUCCUACGGGAGGCAGCAGUGGGGAAUAUUGCACAAUGGGCGAAAGCCUGAUGCAGCCAUGCCGCGUGUGUGAAGAAGGCCCUAGGGUUGUAAAGCACUUUCAGUCGGGAGGAAAGGGAUAAGAUUAAUACUCUUGUUCUAUGACGUUACCGACAGAAGAAGCACCGGCAAACUCCGUGCCAGCAGCCGCGGUAAUACGGAGGGUGCAAGCGUUAAUCGGAAUUACUGGGCGUAAAGCGCGCGUAGGCGGCUUGUUAAGUUGGAUGUGAAAGCCCUGGGCUCAACCUGGGAACUGCAUUCAAAACUGGCAAGCUAGAGUACAGUAGAGGGUGGUGGAAUUUCCUGUGUAGCGGGUGAAAAUGCGUAGAUAUGGGAAGGAACAUCA